ACGGGAGGCAGCAGUGGGGGAUAUUGCACAAUGGAGGAGACUCUGAUGCAGCAACGCCGCGUGAAGGAAGAAGGCCUUCGGGUUGUAAACUUCUGUCCUUGGUGACGAUAAUGACGGUAGCCAAGGAGGAAGCCACGGCUAACUACGUGCCAGCAGCCGCGGUAAUACGUAGGUGGCAAGCGUUGUCCGGAAUUACUGGGUGUAAAGGGUGCGUAGGCGGCUCAUAAAGUCAGAUGUGAAAUACCGAGGCUUAACCUCGGAGCUGCAUUUGAAACUUAUGGGCUUGAGUGGAGUAGAGGUAAGCGGAAUGCCAAGUGUAGCGGUGAAAUGCGUAGAUAUUAGGAGGAACACCAGUGGCGAAGGCGGCUUACUGGGCUUUAACUGACGCUGAGGCACGAAAGCAUGGGUAGCAAACAGGAUUAGAUACCCUGGUA
rnacentral:rRNA from 1 species